rnacentral:rRNA from 1 species
GAUGAACGCUGGCGGCGUGCUUAACACAUGCAAGUCGAACGGAAAGGCCCAAGCUUGCUUGGGUACUCGAGUGGCGAACGGGUGAGUAACACGUGGGUGAUCUGCCCUGCACUUCGGGAUAAGCCUGGGAAACUGGGUCUAAUACCGGAUAGGACCACAUUUUGGAUGGUGUGGUGGAAAGUUUUUCGGUGUGGGAUGAGCUCGCGGCCUAUCAGCUUGUUGGUGGGGUAAUGGCCUACCAAGGCGUCGACGGGUAGCCGGCCUGAGAGGGUGUACGGCCACAUUGGGACUGAGAGACGGCCCAGACUCCUACGGGAGGCAGCAGUGGGGAAGAUUGCACAAUGGGCGCAAGCCUGAUGCAGCGACGCCGCGUGGGGGAUGACGGCCUUCGGGUUGUAAACUCCGUUCGCUAGGGACGAAGCGUUAUGUGACGGUACCUGGAGAAGAAGCACCGGCUAACUACGUG